UACGGAGGGUGCGAGCGUUUGUUCGGAAUUAUUGGGCGUAAAGCGCACGUAGGCGGCUGGGUAAGUCUCACUGUGAAAGCCCGGGGCUCAACCCCGGGAGGCCAGGGGGAUACUGCUCGGCUAGAGACAGGCAGAGGCUGGUGGAAUUCCGGGUGUAGCGGUGGAAUGCGUAGAGAUCCGGAGGAACACCUGAGGCGAAGGCGGCCAGCUGGGCCUGAUCUGACGCUGAGGUGCGAAAGCGUGGGGAGCGAACAGG
rnacentral:rRNA from 1 species